rnacentral:rRNA from 1 species
AACGCGAAGAACCUUACCUGGGUUUGACAUCCCCUGACAGCCGUAGAGAUACGGUUUUCGUAGCAAUACGACAGGGAGACAGGUGCUGCAUGGCUGUCGUCAGCUCGUGUGGUGACAUGUUGGGUUAAGUCCCGCAACGAGCGCAACCCUUGUCCUUAGUUGCCAGCAUUCAGUUGGGCUCUCUAGGGAGACUGCCGUGGUUAACACGGAGGAAGGUGGGGAUGACGUCAAGUCCUCAUGGCCUUUAUAUCCAGGGCGACACACGUGAUACAAUGGUCGGUACAGAGGGAAGCGAAGAGGCAACUCGGAGCCAAUCUCAAAAAGCCGAUCUCAGUUCGGAUUGGAGUCUGCAACUCGACUCCAUGAAGUUGGAAUCGCUAGUAAUCGCGGAUCAGCACGCCGCGGUGAAUACGUUCCCGGGCCUUGUACACACCGUAGUAC